rnacentral:lncRNA from 10 species
UUUAUCCCAAUCACCAGUACAAGCCACCCGUAUCAGUGUACACUGUGGCUGACCGAUCCAUAGUGAUGCUUUGAGCACAAGGAAGGACUUUCUGGAAUCUACUUAUCUGACCAAGAAAGCUUCUUUCCAAAAGAAAUGCAAUUGUCUUGAGACUUCUUCCCUAGGGAUCUGAUCAACUAACCAGAAAAGAGCAACCACCAGAGAAGAGACUAUUGUGGUCUACUCUAUAGAAGGGAUCAUGCUUUGAACCUCAUCUUGAAAGGAGAUUCAAUCUUUCCUUCUUGCUCCUAAUAUCAACAGAGGGUGGAAUAUAUGGCCCUGCUGCUGAAGUUUGAGAUAUAAAAUAUGUACCUAGAGCUAAUAUAAUGGAGAUCCCUGAAAAAGUUUUCCUAAAAAAAUAAAAAUUAAAAAAAACACACACACAAUGAAAUAAAAAUGAGAGGUAAAAUCUGCUCAA